rnacentral:rRNA from 1 species
GCGGCGAAAGGGUGAGUAACACGUAACCAACGUACCCCUCAGAUCGGGAUAACCACUGGAAACGGUGGAUAAUACUGAAUGGUCCUAGGAAGGACAUCCUUCCGAAGGUAAACGGCGGCUUCGGCUGCUGUUGAGGGAGCGGGUUGCGUCCUAUCAGCUUGUUGGUGAGGUAACGGCUCACCAAGGCUAUGACGGGUAGCGGGUCUGAGAGGAUGAUCCGCCACACUGGGACUGAGACACUGCCCAGACUCCUACGGGAGGCUGCAGUCGAGAAUCUUCCACAAUGGGCGAAAGCCUGAUGGAGCGACGCUGCGUGUAGGAUGAAGGCCUUAGGGUUGUAAACUACUGUCACGCUAUAGGAACCCGUGUAGGUUAAUAGCCUGCGCGCUGACCAAAGCGAGAGGAAGUGCCGGCUAACUCCGUGCCAGCAGCCGCGGUAAGACGGAGGGCGCAAGCGUUGUUCGGAAUCACUGGGCAUAAAGGGCGCGUAGGCGGCCAGUUCAGUCGGAUGUGAAAUCCCCCGGCCCAACCGGGGAACUGCAUUCGAUACUGACUGGCUAGAGGAUGGUAGGAGCCAAUGGAACUCCAGGUGGAACGGUGAAAUGUGUAGAUAUCUGGAGGAACACCGGUGGCGAAAGCGAUUGGCUGGGCCAUUUCUGACGCUGAGGCGCGAAAGCUAGGGGAGCGAACGGGAUUAGAUACCCUGGUAGUCCUAGCCGUAAACGAUGGGUACUGGG